UUUUUUUUUUUUUUUUUUUCAAACAACACAAUUGACUUUUGUGUGUGUGUGUGUGUAUCAAGUAGUCAACCAAACUAAAUAGUAGAUGACUUGUGUGUGAGACUUCCAACUAACCAGAUAGCUGAUGAGAACAGUAUCAAAUGUUCUUCUCCCAAUCUAGUAUGGUUAAGAACAGUGUGUGUGUGUGUCUAAAGAAAAAUAAAAGUUGUGUUGGUUUUCAAUGUCAAUGUGAUAAUACCACUUUGUAUGUCAAGUUUUCUUUGAAAGAAUGAAUUUAAAACAAUAAACAUGUACAUAUUGAUUAAAAUGGAUGGAUGCAUAUGUAUUUUGGUUAAGCCUAAUGGGUGACGCAUGGACUGAUGACAUUGAAUUUUAUAUGGUAGACUGACUUGUCUCCUGGCCACUUUGCUUGUGUUCAUGUACACAUUUUUUUUUUUUUUGGUAGUUUGUUUCCAUCAUUGGUUGCCACUUUGGCUAUAUGUGUAGAGUUUUUUGAACACUGCAAAUCCACUAUUGACUUCCGUGAUGACAAUUAUAAUUGAAAUAUCAGAAAGAAGAACAGUACAGGUCAAAACUUUGGACAGGCAGUCUGUUAUCCAGCACUAAAUCACAGUCUAUGUCUAUAUUAUAGUAUUCUUAGCAUUGUAUGCAAACCAGUAUAUCAUCCAGUAAUACAUCAAUCAAUCAGUCAUUAUCAGUUACAUUUUACUAAGUCCUGUCCAUAAUUUAUACCACAGCAGAUGUCUUUAUUGUUCAUGUAAAUGUAUACAUUCAUUGUGUGGGUAGUUUAAUGUCAAAGGGCAGACAUAGAUUGGGACCCCCAUCAUUUUUAAUGAAAGAAGGGAAGGUGGUAAUGGUACCGAAAGUCUCAAUACAUUUUUGUUAUGACACCUUUGUUAGCUAAUUUUAUGGUUAGUAUCAGAAGAUUGGUCUAUAAAGUUCAGACUACUGUUAAAGAAUCUGAUUUUGAACAGCAAGCUUAUACUGUUUGACAUUGGUCAUACAUCUAGUUCACACAGCUUAUUUGGACAUGGCUAACUUUUCAUUAUGUAUUCCUUGCCCUGUAUGGGAAGCAUGUUCAAAGUGGCAUUCCUAUGGUCCCUCCCCUAUUGUUGUUAAUGUCAUUUGUUUUUUCGCAUGACAUUUAUUCCAUGAAUAAAUUUUUUUCCAUGUUCGCAAU